AAACUUUCAACAACGGAUCUCUUGGUUCUGGCAUCGAUGAAGAACGCAGCGAAAUGCGAUAAGUAAUGUGAAUUGCAGAAUUCAGUGAAUCAUCGAAUCUUUGAACGCACAUUGCGCCCGCCAGCACUCUGGCGGGCAUGCCUGUUCGAGCGUCAUUUA
rnacentral:rRNA from 1 species